AGUGAACGCUGGCGGUAGGCCUAACACAUGCAAGUCGAACGGCAGCACAUUAAGAGCUUGCUCUUACGGGUGGCGAGUGGCGGACGGGUGAGGAAUACAUCGGAAUCUACUUUUUCGUGGGGGAUAACGUAGGGAAACUUACGCUAAUACCGCAUACGACCUACGGGUGAAAGCAGGGGAUCUUCGGACCUUGCGCGAUUGAAUGAGCCGAUGUCGGAUUAGCUAGUUGGCGGGGUAAAGGCCCACCAAGGCGACGAUCCGUAGCUGGUCUGAGAGGAUGAUCAGCCACACUGGAACUGAGACACGGUCCAGACUCAUACGGGAGGCAGCAGUGGGGAAUAUUGGACAAUGGGCGCAAGCCUGAUCCAGCCAUACCGCGUGGGUGAAGAAGGCAUUCGGGUUGUAAAGCACUUUUGUUGGGAAAGAAAAGCAGCAGGUUAAUACCCCGCUGUUCUGAAGGUACCCAACGAAUAAGCACCGGCUAACUUCGUG
rnacentral:rRNA from 1 species